rnacentral:rRNA from 1 species
UACGGAGGAUCCAAGCGUUAUCCGGAAUCAUUGGGUUUAAAGGGUCCGUAGGCGGUUUAUUAAGUCAGUGGUGAAAUCCGGCGAGCUCAACCUGUCGAACUGCCAUUGAAUGACUGUAGGACUUGAAUUAUUGUGAAGUAACUAGAAUAUGUAGUGUAGCGGUGAAAUGCUUAGAUAUUACAUGGAAUACCCAUGCGAAGGCAGGUUACUAACAAUAUAUUGACGCUGAUGGACGAAAGCGUGGGGAGCAAACAGG